UUCAAUUUCGUCAGUGACAGCUCUUCAUCUACACUUCUCCAGACCUGGUUUAUCUACAUCACAAAAGAUGUCUUCAGGAGGCCAGCUCAUGAGCAGUAGAUGCUCCUCACCCUGCGAGGUGACCUGCCCAGAGCCAUGCGCUAAUGCCUGGAGCCAGCCCUGCGUCACCUCCUGUGGGGACUCUCGUGCCGUGAUCUACCCACCGCCCGUGGUCAUCACCUUCCCAGGCCCCAUCCUCAGCUCCUGCCCUCAGGAGAGCUUCGUGGGCACCUCGUUCCCAUCACCCAUUGGGGGGUUUUCAGGGCCAAUGGGCUCUGUUGAAUCAGGGGGUUCAUUUGGUUCUGGGGGUUCAUAUGGAGGAAGCGGUUCAUUAGGGAUGGGUGGCUCAUAUGGUGGGGGCAGUUCCCUGGGGAUGGGGGGCUCGUACGGAGGGGGUAGUUCAUUUGGCUCUGGGGGCUCAUAUGGAGGAAGCAGGUCAUUUGGGAGCUCAUACAGAGGUGGAAGAUCCUUUGGCUCCAGCUCCUACGGUGGGGGCUUUGGGGGCUCCUGUGGAGGAGGCAGCUCCUAUGGUGGGGGCUCCUUGGGAGGAGGCCGGUGCUUUGGUGGGGGGAGCUCUCAGAGUGGUGGGGGCUACUCUAGUUACAGGAGAUUUGGCGGAGGAAGCUGUAGCUCCGGUUGUUUCUGAAGGGGCAACGUCUCCUGCUCCAGCAGCCCUGGGCUGUGCUAGCCUGGCAGGGGAAGCUGCAACCCGGUGAUGGCCAAGUGAUCGACUUUGCUGGCAUGCGUGGAGCUGCAUCACCUCCCAAAGCCCAGGGAAAUGUCCUUUGUGCUCUGCGUGACUGUCUUCACCACAUAUCCUGUGCUUCCCUGUCAUUAAAGCUAUGUUGCAUCAGUA